rnacentral:misc_RNA from 1 species
CGCACAUUGCGCCCAUUAGUAUUCUAGUGGGCAUGCCUGUUCGAGCGUCAUUACAACCCUUAAGCCCUAGUUGCUUAGUGUUGGGACCUUAGAUAACCCUCUUACGAGGGCCUAAUUCCCUAAAGUCAUUGGCAGAGUUUCGGCAUACUCUAAGCGUAGUAAUUCUUUUCUCGCUUCUGAAGUUGUCGGUACGAUCGCCACAAACCUCUAUAUUUUCUAGUGGUUGACCUCGGAUCAGGUAGGAAUACCCGCUGAACUUAA